GUUCUUAUAGUGUAGUGUAGCACGUGAGAUUUUCAAUCUCUUAGAGCACUAAUUGUGUGUAGAGUGUUAAGAAUA
rnacentral:tRNA from 1 species